rnacentral:rRNA from 1 species
GCAUAUCAAUAAGCGGAGGAAAAGAAACCCAACAGGGAUUGCCUCAGUAACGGCGAAGUGAAGCGGCAACAGCUCAAAUUUGAAAUCUGGAGUCUUUCGGCUUUCCGAGUUGUAAUUUGAAGAGGAUGUUUCGGUGCGACCUGGGCCUAAGUUCCUUGGAACAGGACGUCAUGGAGGGUGAGAAUCCCGUACAUGGCUGCAGGUUUGCUUCUAUGUGAAACUCCUUCGAAGAGUCGAGUUGUUUGGGAAUGCAGCUCAAAAUGGGUGGUAAAUUUCAUCUAAAGCUAAAUAUUGGCGGGAGACCGAUAGCGCACAAGUAGAGUGAUCGAAAGAUGAAAAGCACUUUGAAAAGAGAGUUAAACAGUACGUGAAAUUGUUGAAAGGGAAGCGCUUGCAAUCAGACUCGCCUUCAGUUGAUCAGCCUUCCUUCUGGUUGGUGCACUCUGCUGUUGGCGGGCCAGCAUCAGUUGGGGCGGUGGGACAAAGGCGGCAGGAAUGUGGCUCGCUUCGGUGAGUGUUAUAGCCUGCUGUGUCAUGCCACCAGUCCCGACUGAGGUCCGCGGUUCGCCUAGGAUGCUGGCUUAAUGGUUGUAAGCGACCCGUCUUGAAACACGGACCAAGGAGUCUAACAUCUAUGCGAGUCUUUGGGUGUCAAACCCAUGGGCGAAAUGAAAGUGAACGGAGGUGGGAGUCUUCGGAUGCACCAUCGACCGAUCCUGAUGUUCUCGGAUGGAUUUGAGUAGGAGCAUAGCUGUUGGGACCCGAAAGAUGGUGAACUAUGCCUGAAUAGGGUGAAGCCAGAGGAAACUCUGGUGGAGGCUCGCAGCGGUUCUGACGUGCAAAUCGAUCGUCAAAUUUGGGUAUAGGGGCGAAAGACUAAUCGAACCAUCUAGUAGCUGGGUCCUGCGA